rnacentral:rRNA from 1 species
AUUGAACGCUGGCGGCAUGCCUUACACAUGCAAGUCGAACGGCAGCGCGGGAGCAAUCCUGGCGGCGAGUGGCGAACGGGUGAGUAAAAUAUCGGAACGUGCCCUAGAGUGGGGGAUAACGUAGCGAAAGUUACGCUAAUACCGCAUACGAUCUACGGAUGAAAGUGGGGGAUCGCAAGACCUCAUGCUCGUGGAGCGGCCGAUAACUGAUUAGCUAGUUGGUAGGGUAAAAGCCUACCAAGGCGACGAUCAGUAGCUGGUCUGAGAGGACGACCAGCCACACUGGGACUGAGACACGGCCCAGACUCCUACGGGAGGCAGCAGUGGGGAAUUUUGGACAAUGGGGGCAACCCUGAUCCAGCAAUGCCGCGUGUGUGAAGAAGGC